UACGGAGGAUGCGAGCGUUAUCCGGAUUUAUUGGGUUUAAAGGGUGCGUAGGCGGUUUUAUAAGUCAGUGGUGAAAGACUGUCGCUUAACGAUAGCAUUGCCAUUGAUACUGUAGGACUUGAGUACAAUUGAGGUGGGCGGAAUGUGUAGUGUAGCGGUGAAAUGCUUAGAUAUUACACAGAACACCGAUUGCGAAGGCAGCUCACUAAACUGUAACUGACGCUGAGGCACGAAAGCGUGGGGAU
rnacentral:rRNA from 1 species